ensembl:lncRNA
AAAUCACUGUCAGAAGCAGAAGUAGUGACAACUGCAGGCUCUUGAUACCGAAUUCUGCCUCUGGACCACUUUGAACUUAACAGUGAAGCAUCGGAUUGUUCUUUGUGUUCCAAUCUACUGGUCUGCUUGAGUUUCUACUUGCCUGACCCCAACAAUGAAGAUGAAGCAAAAGAAUAUCAACUGGCACCUCAAUUCCACAGGAAGAAAUUCAGAAUAACUUCAAUGGAUAUUACAGAGCUGGGAGGUACAGAAGAGUCAGUCAUAAGACAAGAAGGAGCCUGGACCUCUGAAUGACUAACAAAGAUUCAUAAACCUCUUCACAUCUUAAAUGACAUCAAGAGGGAAAUAUAUCCAUUUUUUACAUUUUAGUCAAACUCGGGAGAGAGAGACUGAAUACAUUUCCUCCUUUUCCACAGCAGUGUUAUAAUUUUAUAGAAUAAUGAUGAAGCAAAACCCAGGAAAUAUGCAUAUGUUAAUUCAAGUUGUCAGUGUUGUGUGAAAAUUUUUCUCGGUAGGCAAGUUCCUCCUCUAGCUAGAAUGACAGCUGUUCAUGUCCCCCUG